ACAUACACGGCAACAAUUGCAUGGACAGAAAAUAAACAUUUGGAGCUUGAUUCUUGGAUCUUGUUUUCAGAAUUCGUUGAUUUAACGAGAUCGUCUUCGGGUCUUCUCAAAUGUACUAGAGCUUUCGAUUGAUCACCGAUUGCUUUUGAUGAAAUGAUGGUCAGAUUGGUCAACGUGGAUGGUGGCUGAGUGGUGCGCAGGUUGCCAAGUAAAAGAAACUUUUAGGAAUCCAUAAUAAAUUUGUUAGGCCAUUUUAUGUUUCUCUUCAAUUCCAUUCAUGACGCUAUGUUUAUUUGAUUCAGUAUUUGAGUUUCAAUAAAUUAAGGUAUUAAAUUUUAAAUUUUA